rnacentral:lncRNA from 1 species
GUAAUUUCUAGCCAAGUCCAAAUGCAUUUGGGUAUUAUCAUUGUGUUUAAGGCUCUGAAAUUAAACUCUAAGCGUAAGUAAAGUAACUAGGCUCCUGGGAAUUGACUUUUUCUAAACAAAUAAGAGUGGUGUGCAAACUAGAACAUCAAUUUAUUCUUAUGUAACACAGGCAGCCUGGAUAUUUGUGUCUUUAGUCCAUGUAUUCUUUCCCUGUAGGCAAGCAGCAUGGGAAGAAAACUCAAUUAGGAGUGAACAUUAAGAACUUGGAAUCAGAACGGGAAAGGAAGUUGGAUGUUCUAGUAGCUGGUGAUAGCUUGAUGUGUCCGUUUCCUCCUUGGACUGCAUCUCUCUGCUACUCCAUCUAGCUUCUGCUAUUCCCCUGUACAAUAAAUAAAGCUUCAGUUUUAGUAGCCAAUUUGUCUAAGCCUCUUGUAUAUACUGUGGCCCCUGCCUGGAGUCCUCUAGCAGUCAUCGCAGGCAUGUUUUGAGGUGUCAGUACUUUUCAUAUACCCUUCUCUGUGACCUGUCCAUUCCUUUGGUCCUAUAGCCAUCCUUGUGUUGUGUCAUCUCCACCUUUUCCUCCUUUUGUCUCCCUCUUCCCUUCUCCUUUCCCUCACCUUCCCACCCCCAUCUGAUUGCAACCAAGGUGGACACUUGUUAUCCAUACUGUUGGCUAGACAUUAACCAAGCAAAGUGUGUCUUCUUGAUCUCUCUAGAUAAUUGGAAGUACAGAACAUAGCAACUCUACUGAAGCACUGUCUAUGGAAUGAAUAAACUACUCCUCAACAUGGUCCAUAGGAACCAAAGUUGUAAAAUAAGGCAGGACAAUUUGAAAGUCAUGAAGGAAAGACUGUCAGAAGCACAGGAUGAAGGAUGCUGUGUCUGUUCUGUGUUCUCCAUUUGGACUUCAUCGGAGAGAGAAAUAAACUUUUACUGUGUUGGAG